rnacentral:rRNA from 1 species
GCAGUCGAGCGAAUGGAUUAAGAGCUUGCUCUUAUGAAGUUAGCGGCGGACGGGUGAGUAACACGUGGGUAACCUGCCCAUAAGACUGGGAUAACUCCGGGAAACCGGGGCUAAUACCGGAUAACAUUUUGAACCGCAUGGUUCGAAAUUGAAAGGCGGCUUCGGCUGUCACUUAUGGAUGGACCCGCGUCGCAUUAGCUAGUUGGUGAGGUAACGGCUCACCAAGGCAACGAUGCGUAGCCGACCUGAGAGGGUGAUCGGCCACACUGGGACUGAGACACGGCCCAGACUCCUACGGGAGGCAGCAGUAGGGAAUCUUCCGCAAUGGACGAAAGUCUGACGGAGCAACGCCGCGUGAGUGAUGAAGGCUUUCGGGUCGUAAAACUCUGUUGUUAGGGAAGAACAAGUGCUAGUUGAAUAAGCUGGCACCUUGACGGUACCUAACCAGAAAGCCACGGCUAACUACGUGCCAGCAGCCGCGGUAAUACGUAGGUGGCAAGCGUUAUCCGGAAUUAUUGGGCGUAAAGCGCGCGCAGGUGGUUUCUUAAGUCUGAUGUGAAAGCCCACGGCUCAACCGUGGAGGGUCAUUGGAAACUGGGAGACUUGAGUG